rnacentral:lncRNA from 1 species
AUGGAGCUUCAUUACCCCCAUGAGAUUUACCUUUCCCAGGCAAUUUCUCAGCAUUUUCAAGAGGAAAGUGUAAGCCUGAUUGGUACUGCCAACCAUGAAAGCAAUACCGUGCAGGAGCAGCAGAUGGGUGGGAGGCUAAAACAAGAUGCUCUGUUGACCUCUGGUGGAGUGAAGAAGAGAGAAAUAGAAGGAGCUGGGGACACUGAAUGCAGUUUGCAGGAAAAUUGCUCUUGCUAGGUUUCCUUUUCCAAGUUUGAUCUCAGCUGAAGGCAACUCUUCAUCAGUAAGAGAACAGGAGGCAUGACACAACAUACCCUGGAUAAAACUGGUGUUUGAGGCUGGAAAUCUUUAUUAAAAGAAAAAGAAAUCAGUUCAGAAUACUGAGAAGUGUAAUUUAUUUGUGUUUAAUAACAGAGCAACAUAUAGCUGAAGACUGGGUGGGGAAGAGGGGAAAAAAUCACAGGCAUUUCAGUUUCAGAUGAUAAGCAGAAAUGUGCAGGUGUUGUACAUUAGAUGACCUUCCCUAUGUGGGUCACCAUACAUCAGUACUGUUAGCAGCCUUACCUAGGGCAGCUUGAUGCCUCUCAUUUCUCAUGUCUUCAUACAGGAAUGAUUACAAUGCCUAAGUAUGUAUAGGUCGGCUUACAGACUACUGAGCAGGGAAAUAAAUCUACAAAUAUUUGAAAGGUGUAAAACCCA